GACGAACGCUGGCGGCGUGCUUAACACAUGCAAGUCGAACGAUGAAACCGGAGCUUGCUCUGGUGAAUUAGUGGCGAACGGGUGAGUAACACGUGAGUAACCUGCCCUUGACUCUGGGAUAACUGCGGGAAACUGUAGCUAAUACCGGAUACGACCCUCGGAGGCAUCUCCUGGGGGUGGAAAGAAUUUCGGUCAAGGAUGGACUCGCGGCCUAUCAGCUAGUUGGUGAGGUAAAGGCUCACCAAGGCGACGACGGGUAGCCGGCCUGAGAGGGUGACCGGCCACACUGGGACUGAGAAACGGCCCAGACUCCUACGGGAGGCAGCAGUGGGGAAUAUUGCACAAUGGGCGCAAGCCUGAUGCAGCAACGCCGCGUGAGGGAUGACGGCCUUCGGGUUGUAAACCUCUUUUAGCAGGGAAGAAGCGAAAGUGACGGUACCUGCAGAAAAAGCACCGGCUAACUACGUGCAGCAGCCGCCGUAA
rnacentral:rRNA from 1 species